GGGGCUGUAGCUCAUCUGGGAGAGCGCUUGUCUGGCAGACAAGAGGUAACGGGUUCGAUCCCCGUCAGCUCCACCA
rnacentral:tRNA from 1 species